rnacentral:rRNA from 1 species
GAUGAACGCUGGCGGCAUGACUAAGGCAUGCAAGUCGAACGCCGAUCUUCGGAUCGGAGUGGCAAACGGGAGAGUAACACAUUGGUAACCUACCUCUUAGACGUGAACAACCAUUAGAAAUGAUGGCUAAUACACGAUAAUAAGACAAUUCAUAAGUUUUGUCUUUAAAGCUUUUGCGCUAAGAGAGGGGCCUAUGGCCUAUCAGCUUGUUGGUGAGGUAAAAGCUCACCAAGGCUACGACGGGUAUGGGGUGUGAGAGCACGGCCCCACUCACUGGGACUGAGACACGGCCCAGACACCUACGGGUGGCUGCAGUCAUGAAUCUUCCGCAAUGCACGAAAGUGUGACGGAGCAAUGCCGCGUGCAGGAUGAAGGCCUUCGGGUCGUAAACUGCUUUUAUUAGGGACGAACAAAUGACGGUACCUAAUGAAUAAGGGGUUGCUAACUCUG